rnacentral:misc_RNA from 1 species
AAAUGCGAUAAGUAAUGUGAAUUGCAGAAUUCAGUGAAUCAUCGAAUCUUUGAACGCACCUUGCGCUCCUUGGUAUUCCUUGGAGCAUGCCUGUUUGAGUAUCAUGAAAUCUUCAAAGUAAAUCUUUUGUUAACUCAAUUGGUUUCUACUUUGGUAUUGGAGGUCUUUGCAGCUUCACACCUGCUCCUCUUUGUUCAUUAGCUGGAUCUCAGUGUUAUGCUUGGUUCCACUCGGCGUGAUAAGUUAUCUAUCGCUGAGGACACUGUAAAAGGUGGCCAAGGUAAAUGCAGAUGAACCGCUUCUAAUAGUCCAUUGACUUGGACAAUACUUUUAUGAUCUGAUCUCAAAUCACGUAGGACUACCCGCUGAACUUAAGC